UACGUAGGGGGCUAGCGUUGUCCGGAAUUAUUGGGCGUAAAGAGCUCGUAGGCGGUCUGUUGCGUCGGUUGUGAAAACCUGGGGCUCAACUCCAGGCCUGCAAUCGAUACGGGCAGACUAGAGUUCGGUAGGGGAGACUGGAAUUCCUGGUGUAGCGGUGAAAUGCGCAGAUAUCAGGAGGAACACCGGUGGCGAAGGCGGGUCUCUGGGCCGAAACUGACGCUGAGGAGCGAAAGCGUGGGGAGCGAACAGG
rnacentral:rRNA from 1 species